CUUGAUUCAGCAUCAGAAGCAGCUUUCAACGAGCUCUGCAGCCCCUUUCUCAUAUCCUCCACCUGCUUCAUACAGCUGUCAAACAUAUUUUUCUGAUCAAGGUCCAGAACACGGACAAGGUCUCCCUGCUCCUGAAGCUCCUUAAGCUCAGCCCAAUCCCUCUGCAGAUUGAUUCAGAUUGUGAAUAAUAAGAAAAAUGUAUAACCCAUGCUUGAACACAAGAUAAGUGGUCUUAAAUAUUUAACCCUCAAAAAAGAUAAACACAAAACAGAACAGUAGUGACAAAGCAGAUGGAAGAAUCAUGAAUCAAUCAUGCAUAUUCAAUAAUCUUUACUACUUCAAAAUCGGAAUUGGUGGUGGUGGAGGCUGGUGAUAGGUUGCACACUUGUGUUACCUCCACCUUGGAGGACCUUCUUUGGGAAAUUCUUUGUAUUCAUGUAACCAUGUGUAUGUAACAAAGAGGGUCUAUAUAUGGAAUUUGUGGAUUGAAGACUUAAAGUUCCAUAGCUAGAUAAAUGGGAGUUAGUAAAGAAUUACCUUUUUUCUGAACACUGUAAAGAAUUACUAGGUUAGUAGAUCUAAGACAUGUCAUUUAUUUCAAAAUCAUGGCAACCCACAGGUCGGUUUAGUGGCACCUAGUACAUGACUAUAGUUCCAAAUGCAUUAUUCUAAUUUGGGUGUGCAUCAGUCAUUAUUAUCAAGGUAGCUGGUUAUAAAUGAUUAGCAACAUAAAUGAGUAAUUCGGUUAAAUUGCUUAAACUUAAGUACCAAAUGAUCAUAUAAAACCAUAAGCAGUAAGAAUCUAUGAUCAGUAAAAAAAUUCUACCACGGAUGAACAAUGGGGGCCUUCCCUCAUUCUCCAGCCAUGAAAUAUGGUGCCUACGAAAAAUGGUUCACAUGGAUAUAAGUAAAGAAAAGUACCUGCCGUUCAUAAUUUUCUUCGGCGGAUCGCCAACGCUUGUACUGCUCAUCUAGUGCACUCUUUGAGGAAGCCAAUUCCAUUUCUAAUUUUUCUACCUGUGGUCUGUUAUAGAGGAACAAAGCAACAACAGAAAUGUCAACCAACUCUAGAAGUACAAUAGAGAAGUAUUUCUUGCCUAGUUUAGGGUAAACAGAUGCUUACAAUCUCUGAGAAACAUCUGUCCUUAGAACAGAAAUCUCAUUCACGAGAGAGGUGAUUUGCUUCUCUUUAGACUCAAUCGCACUGGCAGCUUCUUCACACUUUAUCAGAUAGCUCUUCUCCAUGUAAGAUAACUUAUCCCUCAAUUUAGCAAUCUCAUCUUCCAAGGCUUCCCUGCCAACCUCGGCCUACACAUGAAAACUACAAAAGUCAAUGUGCAUAUAAAUAAAGAUACAGAGGCUUCACUGUAACGUAUAUAAAAUGUUGAUACCUCUGCCUUGUAGUCCUGAUGGGCAGAUUCCAAUUGCUUUAACGCAACUUCAUUGGAGUCCGCAAUUUCUUUGUACUGUACAAGAGUUAAUGUUGGGUGAUUCAGAAGAGUCAGGAUUCAGGAGAUCAAUGCAUUGUGAACUGAUUGCAAAAUUGCACUGGGACUUCUCUUAUAACUUCUGGAUAAAUGAGCCUAUCAGAUUCUAAAUUCUGAAGAACAAAGCAAUCAGGUUGCUAACAGGAAAAACAAAAAGGAAAUGGAGAGUAUCAUUUUACCAUGAUUCCAAAGCAAAGUAAUAUGGUAAAAGGUGGUUUCAAGGUUUCCUUUACUUUCUCAGUGCAUAUAAACAUGUCUAAAUCUAGGUAAGUAUGAUCUUAUGAAAAUUAACGCAGUCAGAGAUAGGCACCUGAACCAUGUAGUUCCUAUUUGCUUGUGCUUCCUCCUUGUACUUUUCUAACUGCUCUUUCAACUGGAAUAGCUCAUCAUUCUCCUAUGGGAAAAAACACACCGUCAUGUAUCAAGCUAUCACCAAGUUCAUACAGAAUGAGCUUCAUACAGGAGAUAGGGUAGGGGUGAGAGCAUAUAACUUUCUCUGCAAUGAUUCAGGGAUGCUCGAAAAGAAAGUAUGAAAAGACAAGGAUAUUAAAAGUCAUUCAGAUGAAAACAUCAGUACCAUAGUCCUUAGCAAUAUCCCACACCAAAUACAAAUUUAGAUACAUGGUUAUUUGAGUACAGCAAAAAUUAACUCAUAGACGCAACAAAAAUAACUCACCUCAGAUGUGGCUGGGAUGUCACGGCCAGUGUCCCUAAAAGUGACCUGGUAGAACAACAGCACAAUUAGGAGCCUACAUGAUUAUGAUCUAUCCAGCACAGCAUAUAAUCAGAUUUCAAAAUUAUGUGAGGUAAAAACAGGCCAUUUUUUAAAAUUUGGCCAUGAACAACGGACAUAAUGUACUCCUUCGCCUACCAAAUAGAUAACAUUUUUUACUAUGGUGCAAGUAUGUUUUUUUGGCAAACUGGCAGGAGACCUGAUGUGGGACAAUUAAUUUUUAAAAUAAUAUGUUGCUAAAAAGAUAAAAUCAUACGAAUAUAAUUCUGAUGGAAAUCAACUAGUGUUUGUUUAGAAACAUUCACGAAGAGGAAUGCAUCAGUAACGACACUCCAAAAACUAAACCUGGUUCUGUCAAUGCUAGCUCCAAAAACAUCCAGGUACCCUACAAGGACUGCAGCAGCAUACUGUUGCAGCUAAUCAGUUUAAUAUUUAAUUAUUAUAAUUAUUAUUAUAGAUCUCACUUUUAACUGAAUAAAAAUGGUGCUUUUACAGGAGUAAGAUCCUCACAAACGCAUGCACUUUGGUCACUGCUACAGAGCUAACAUUUUAUAUAGCCAGUUCACUAAAGGGGUGUUUGGAUACACCCCCCUAAACUUUAGUACCUGUCACAUCGGAUGUUUGGAUACUAAUUAGGAGUAUUAAAUAUAGUCUAAUUACAAAACUAAUUGCACAAAUGGAGUCUAAUUCGCGAGACGAAUCUAUUAAGCCUAAUUAGUCCAUGAUUUGACAAUGUGGUGCUACAGUAACCAUUUGCUAAUGAUGCAUUAAUUAGGCUUAAUAGAUUCGUCUCGCGAAUUAUUAUAGGGGUUCUGCAGUUAGUUUUAUAAUUAGCUCAUGUUUAGUCCUUCUAAUUAGUGUCCGAACAUCCGAUGUGACCCUCCUAAAGUUGAGUACGUUGUAUCCAAACAGCCAUUAAAAAAAGCUCAGAUAUGUUGAAAACUAUGAAGACUAUCAGUGCCAAAAAUACAAACCUUCCUUGAUUUCAGCUUUGCCUCUAAAUCAGAACAUUUGGCCUGCAGAAAGAAAAAGGAAACAAUUACUACCACAAUCUCGUAUAUAAUGCCAUCAGUCUAGCAACAAUAAAAAGAUUUCAACAAACCUCUGCAAUGGCAGCCCUUGAUUCAGCAUCAGAAGCAGCUUUCAACGAGCUCUGCAGCCCCUUUCUCAUAUCCUCCACCUGUUUCAUACAGCUGUCAAACAUAUUUUUCUGAUCAAGGUUCAGAACACGGACAAGGUCUCCCUGCUCCUGAAGCUCCUUAAGCUCAGCCCAAUCCCUCUGCAGAUUGAUUCAGAUUGUGAAUAAUAAGAAAAAUGUAUAACCCAUGCUUGAACACAAGAUAAGUGGUCUUAAAUAUUUAACCCUCAAAAAAGAUAAACACAAAACAGAACAGUAGUGACAAAGCAGAUGGAAGAAUCAUGAAUCAAUCAUGCAUAUUCAAUAAUCUUUACUACUUCAAAAUCGGAAUUGGUGGUGGUGGAGGCUGGUGAUAGGUUGCACACUUGUGUUACCUCCACCUUGGAGGACCUUCUUUGGGAAAUUCUUUGUAUUCAUGUAACCAUGUGUAUGUAACAAAGAGGGUCUAUAUAUGGAAUUUGUGGAUUGAAGACUUAAAGUUCCAUAGCUAGAUAAAUGGGAGUUAGUAAAGAAUUACCUUUUUUCUGAACACUGUAAAGAAUUACUAGGUUAGUAGAUCUAAGACAUGUCAUUUAUUUCAAAAUCAUGGCAACCCACAGGUCGGUUUAGUGGCACCUAGUACAUGACUAUAGUUCCAAAUGCAUUAUUCUAAUUUGGGUGUGCAUCAGUCAUUAUUAUCAAGGUAGCUGGUUAUAAAUGAUUAGCAACAUAAAUGAGUAAUUCGGUUAAAUUGCUUAAACUUAAGUACCAAAUGAUCAUAUAAAACCAUAAGCAGUAAGAAUCUAUGAUCAGUAAAAAAAUUCUACCACGGAUGAACAAUGGGGGCCUUCCCUCAUUCUCCAGCCAUGAAAUAUGGUGCCUACGAAAAAUGGUUCACAUGGAUAUAAGUAAAGAAAAGUACCUGCCGUUCAUAAUUUUCUUCGGCGGAUCGCCAACGCUUGUACUGCUCAUCUAGUGCACUCUUUGAGGAAGCCAAUUCCAUUUCUAAUUUUUCUACCUGUGGUCUGUUAUAGAGGAACAAAGCAACAACAGAAAUGUCAACCAACUCUAGAAGUACAAUAGAGAAGUAUUUCUUGCCUAGUUUAGGGUAAACAGAUGCUUACAAUCUCUGAGAAACAUCUGUCCUUAGAACAGAAAUCUCAUUCACGAGAGAGGUGAUUUGCUUCUCUUUAGACUCAAUCGCACUGGCAGCUUCUUCACACUUUAUCAGAUAGCUCUUCUCCAUGUAAGAUAACUUAUCCCUCAAUUUAGCAAUCUCAUCUUCCAAGGCUUCCCUGCCAACCUCGGCCUACACAUGAAAACUACAAAAGUCAAUGUGCAUAUAAAUAAAGAUACAGAGGCUUCACUGUAACGUAUAUAAAAUGUUGAUACCUCUGCCUUGUAGUCCUGAUGGGCAGAUUCCAAUUGCUUUAACGCAACUUCAUUGGAGUCCGCAAUUUCUUUGUACUGUACAAGAGUUAAUGUUGGGUGAUUCAGAAGAGUCAGGAUUCAGGAGAUCAAUGCAUUGUAAACUGAUUGCAAAAUUGCACUGGGACUUCUCUUAUAACUUCUGGAUAAAUGAGCCUAUCAGAUUCUAAAUUCUGAAGAACAAAGCAAUCAGGUUGCUAACAGGAAAAACAAAAAGGAAAUGGAGAGUAUCAUUUUACCAUGAUUCCAAAGCAAAGUAAUAUGGUAAAAGGUGGUUUCAAGGUUUCCUUUACUUUCUCAGUGCAUAUAAACAUGUCUAAAUCUAGGUAAGUAUGAUCUUAUGAAAAUUAACGCAGUCAGAGAUAGGCACCUGAACCAUGUAGUUCCUAUUUGCUUGUGCUUCCUCCUUGUACUUUUCUAACUGCUCUUUCAACUGGAAUAGCUCAUCAUUCUCCUAUGGGAAAAAACACACCGUCAUGUAUCAAGCUAUCACCAAGUUCAUACAGAAUGAGCUUCAUACAGGAGAUAGGGUAGGGGUGAGAGCAUAUAACUUUCUCUGCAAUGAUUCAGGGAUGCUCGAAAAGAAAGUAUGAAAAGACAAGGAUAUUAAAAGUCAUUCAGAUGAAAACAUCAGUACCAUAGUCCUUAGCAAUAUCCCACACCAAAUACAAAUUUAGAUACAUGGUUAUUUGAGUACAGCAAAAAUUAACUCAUAGACGCAACAAAAAUAACUCACCUCAGAUGUGGCUGGGAUGUCACGGCCAGUGUCCCUAAAAGUGACCUGGUAGAACAACAGCACAAUUAGGAGCCUACAUGAUUAUGAUCUAUCCAGCACAGCAUAUAAUCAGAUUUCAAAAUUAUGUGAGGUAAAAACAGGCCAUUUUUUAAAAUUUGGCCAUGAACAACGGACAUAAUGUACUCCUUCGCCUACCAAAUAGAUAACAUUUUUUACUAUGGUGCAAGUAUGUUUUUUUGGCAAACUGGCAGGAGACCUGAUGUGGGACAAUUAAUUUUUAAAAUAAUAUGUUGCUAAAAAGAUAAAAUCAUACGAAUAUAAUUCUGAUGGAAAUCAACUAGUGUUUGUUUAGAAACAUUCACGAAGAGGAAUGCAUCAGUAACGACACUCCAAAAACUAAACCUGGUUCUGUCAAUGCUAGCUCCAAAAACAUCCAGGUACCCUACAAGGACUGCAGCAGCAUACUGUUGCAGCUAAUCAGUUUAAUAUUUAAUUAUUAUAAUUAUUAUUAUAGAUCUCACUUUUAACUGAAUAAAAAUGGUGCUUUUACAGGAGUAAGAUCCUCACAAACGCAUGCACUUUGGUCACUGCUACAGAGCUAACAUUUUAUAUAGCCAGUUCACUAAAGGGGUGUUUGGAUACACCCCCCUAAACUUUAGUACCUGUCACAUCGGAUGUUUGGAUACUAAUUAGGAGUAUUACCUCUAAAUCAGAACAUUUGGCCUGCAGAAAGAAAAAAGAAACAAUUACUACCACAAUCUCGUAUAUAAUGCCAUCAGUCUAGCAACAAUAAAAAGAUUUCAACAAACCUCUGCAAUGGCAGCCCUUGAUUCAGCAUCAGAAGCAGCUUUCAACGAGCUCUGCAGCACCUUUCUCAUAUCCUCCACCUGCUUCAUACUGCUGUCAAACAUAUUUUUCUGAUAAAGGUUCAGAACACGGACAAGGUCUCCCUGCUCCUGAAGCUCCUUAAGCUCAGCCCAAUCCCUCUGCAGAUUGAUUCAGAUUGUGAAUAAUAAGAAAAAUGCAUAAC
rnacentral:lncRNA from 1 species